rnacentral:rRNA from 1 species
UGGGGAAUAUUGCACAAUGGGCGCAAGCCUGAUGCAGCCAUGCCGCGUGUGUGAAGAAGGCCUUCGGGUUGUAAAGCACUUUCAGCGGGGAGGAAGGCGUUAAGGUUAAUAACCUUGGCGAUUGACGUUACCCGCAGAAGAAGCACCGGCUAACUCCGUGCCAGCAGCCGCGGUAAUACGGAGGGUGCAAGCGUUAAUCGGAAUUACUGGGCGUAAAGCGCACGCAGGCGGUCUGUCAAGUCGGAUGUGAAAUCCCCGGGCUCAACCUGGGAACUGCAUUCGAAACUGGCAGGCUAGAGUCUUGUAGAGGGGGGUAGAAUUCCAGGUGUAGCGGUGAAAUGCGUAGAGAUCUGGAGGAAUACCGGUGGCGGAGGCGGCCCCCUGGACAAAGACUGACGCUCAGGUGCGAAAGCGUGGGGAGCAAACAGG